rnacentral:rRNA from 1 species
GAUGAACGCUGGCGGCGUGCCUAAUACAUGCAAGUCGAGCGAACGGACGAGAAGCUUGCUUCUCUGAUGUUAGCGGCGGACGGGUGAGUAACACGUGGAUAACCUACCUAUAAGACUGGGAUAACUUCGGGAAACCGGAGCUAAUACCGGAUAAUAUUUUGAACCGCAUGGUUCAAAAGUGAAAGACGGUCUUGCUGUCACUUAUAGAUGGAUCCGCGCUGCAUUAGCUAGUUGGUAAGGUAACGGCUUACCAAGGCAACGAUGCAUAGCCGACCUGAGAGGGUGGAGACCCAGACUGGAGCGGAGGCACGGUCCAGACUCCAGGGAGGGGCAGAGGAGGGGAAUCUUCCGCAAGGGGAGAAGGCCGAAGGGGGCAACGCCGCGGGAGUGAUAAAGAUCUUCGGAUGUUAAAACUAUGUAGUUGGGAAAAAAGAUAAGUGAAUUUAUCUGUGCCCAUCUUGACGGUACCAAGAAAAAAAGCACCGGCUAACUACGUG